UACGUAGGGUGCGAGCGUUAAUCGGAAUUACUGGGCGUAAAGCGUGCGCAGGCGGUCUGUUAAGACCGAUGUGAAAUCCCCGGGCUUAACCUGGGAACUGCAUUGGUGACUGGCAGGCUUUGAGUGUGGCAGAGGGAGGUAGAAUUCCACGUGUAGCAGUGAAAUGCGUAGAGAUGUGGAGGAAUACCGAUGGCGAAGGCAGCCCCCUGGGUCAAUACUGACGCUCAUGCACGAAAGCGUGGGGAGCAAACAGG
rnacentral:rRNA from 1 species